CUUGGUGCCAUCAGUGAAAACAGGAAAAAAGCCCAGGUGAAUGGUUGAAAAGAAUUCUGAGAAUUGUAUGUCUGUGAAGUGGCUUGGGAUCUCUGUUAGACAUAUAAUCUUUGCUCUCACUAGGCUGCAGUUUUCAGGUUUCCCUGGAAAAGGGGCUUUGUAGAUAAAUACAGUAGAGUCUCACUUAUCCAACAUAAACAGGCCAGCAAAACGUUGGAUAAGCGAAAAUGUUGGAUAAUAAGGACAGAUUAAGGAAAAGCCUAUUAAAUAUCAAAUUACGUUAUGAUUUUACAAAUUAAGCACCAAAACACCAUGGCUUACAACAAAUUGACAGAAAAAGCAGUUGAAUACACGGUAAUGUUGUGUAGUAAUUACUGUAUUUACAAAUUUAGCACCAAAACAUCGCAAUGUAUUGAAAACAUUCACUACAAAAACACUGACUACUAAAAGGUAGGCUGUUGGAUAAUCCAGAACACUGGAUAAGCGAGGGUUGGAUAAGCGAGACUCUACUGUAGAUAUAAAAAACAAGUUAUGUUUGCAGUGUAAAUAUUUCCUAAAAGACUCUCUGCAAUUGGUUACUGGGCUGUGAAGUAGCACUGCUUUAUGUUAUUUUAUGUUGAAAAAUAGAGUGUUAACUGUGGUUUAUCUUAUUUUAUAUCAAUAUAUAUGAAGUUGUUGUUCAGUGGUUAUGUUUAAUCAGAAAUAGAAGGUGUGUAUAGAGAAUAGAAAGGGAAGGCAGAAUGGAGUGUAUAAAUGAAACUAGCCUAGGAGUAGGAGGAGAGUGAUUGGUUGAUGUGGGAGAUGAAGGUGGAAAUGUUGCUGAAGCAGGACUGGGAUUAAAAUUGAAGUUGGCGCGAAAUUGGAGAUCCGCCACCUCUGUGGAGGAUGGAAGCCCCAGUAAGUCCAAAAAAUGGUCUGACCAUGAUACAGGAACUAUGUCUAGAUCAUGAUGCCCCUCUCCUCUUGUGAUGAAAAGAAGGUCAAGAGUGUGACCUGUUCUGUGACUAGGGUUAGAUAUAAUUUGGGACAGGGAGAAUGUUGAAGUCCCCCAGCACAACCAGUCUGGGGGACUCCAGCACCAGCCUCGAGACCAAACUUGCUAGCUCAAGUAGAGAGGUUGUUGGGCAACGAGGUGGCCAGAACACCAAAAAGAUCUGUAAUAUGUCCUGGUAACCUAAUAAUAAUAAUAAUAAUAAUCAUAAUCAUAAUAAUAAUAAUGUAUUUAUAUACCGUCCUAUCUCCCAAAAGGGACUCAGGGCGGUUUACAACAAUAAUACACAACAUACAGUACAUAGCAAUAUAAAAACACAUUAUUACACAAAAUAAAAUUUUACACUAAAACUGACAAUCAAUGAUAAUCACAACAGCUUCCAAUCGGGGGGCGAGGAUCAAUAAUCCCAUAGAUAAAUAUACUUAGGUAUAAAUAUUCAAUAGUAUUUCUGUACCCUCGUAUUAUGAAAGAAUAAGUUCAUGGGUGAUAAGGGGGAGGUGGCGGGAUUGGGGGGAAAUACUGGUAUUUUGAUUGUGGAAUAUCAAGAUUGAAUGUCUGUGUGUGUGUGUGUGUGUGUGUAUAUAUAUAUAUAUAUAUAUAUAUAUAUAUAUAUAUCCCACAAUACAAAAUUUUAAAAAUGUAUUAAAAAAAAGUUCAUAGCAAUAUAAAAACACAUCAUUACACAAAAUACGGAUAUGACACAAAGACUGACCAAAUAAUAUCAAGACUUGAGGGAAAGCCAUUCAUACAUAUUAGUAUAACAAUAAUUCAUGUUUAUGCUUCAACUACAGAGUCAGAAAAAUAAGAAAUUGAAAGUUACAUUAUCCCCUUGUCACCUUACUUCCCCACUGUUGGCAGUCUUCUGAUCGAGUCAGGUCAAAUGAGGGAAAUUCUUUCCUGUCUUGUAGAGCCAGCCCCAGAGUUUGUAAAAAGUACUGUCUGCUCAUUGUGUUCUGCAGAGGUCUGCUUUGCAAAAUGUGAGAGAGUUGGCAUGGUUCAGAAAUGACUCAAACACAAAUGACCUCCUAUAUAUACAAUUGAAAAUGAAUCAGUUCAGUAAAUAAUAUAUCUGGCAAAUUAAUAUACUGUUUAAAUUCACAGUAAUAUCGAACACCAUCAAAUGGAUUGUCCCAUAUACAUAGAAAUGCAGUCGGCGUUAAAUUCACAGUAAUAACAAGCAGCCUCAAAUGGAUAGUCCAAUAUACAUUGAAGUGCAAUCGGCGUUGUAUAUUCUAUUGCCGAGAAGAGUCAGUUCGCCACGACCGGUUUCGGCCCUGCAUCAGGCCUUCCUCUGGUGGUCUGAAAAUAGUUGCGUACACUAACAUAAGUAACAAAAUAUAUCCAUAAAACAUCAUCCAUUGCCUAAUACUAACAUGGUUCCAAACUUAACACUUGUUCUCUUUAGAGAUACAUGUCAUUUACAUUAUGAAAUGUAUAUCAAAGACACCAAUAGUUACAUACACAAAAUAUAAGUAACUACCUAUCCAUUGAGUAAUAACUAUAAACAACAUUACAAUAUACUUACAUAGUUCCAAAUUUAACACUUGUUCUCCUUAGAGAUACCUGUUUUUUACAGUGGAAUCUAGGUCAAAGGAACAAGGAGUGGCCAUAAGCAUUAAAGAGUUACAAACAUCCAAAAAUUUGUUUUUAAACAAAUUGUAUAUUUCUAAAACAGUAUAUACUCACGGGAUACUCUGCUGUGUGUUAGGUUUUAAUUGCGAGUAUGAAAAGCAUCAAGGGGUUGCCUCAAUUUAAAGGGGAAGAUGUUAAAGAAACAGAAAGGUUUAUAUGAAGAUAUAGAAGAAAUACCACCAGAUGGUGCUAUGAGUACCCUUAUUGUAUUGGGUGUAUUCAAUUAGGGAUUUAUAGUAUGCUAAGGUUCUAUAUAUAACAACUGUAUGAAUUUUGUUCAUUUACGCCCUGUGGAUGUUCUGUCCGUAAUCUGAAAAUCCAAUAUGUUUCCCUUUGCAAAAGUUUAUUAUUGAAGUCCAUAUGUUUGGAUUGUGAUACUACUUCUAGUAUGUGGUAUUUGAAUGAUUCAGGACUAUGCUGUAGAUCACAGAAAUGUUUGUACAGUAUGGAUUCUCUGACAUGAUUUCGUAUUUUGCUCCUGUGCUCUAUAAUUCUGCUCUUAACUUCUCGACGAGUCUGCCCCACAUAUGAUAAAUUACAAUCACAAAUUAUCAUGUAAAUAACCCCUUUGGUUGUACAGGUGGCAAAAUGGGGAAAUUUAAAUUCGAAUGAUAGAUGUUGGUGUGUCAAGAUUUUGGUCUCUAUCAAUUGGCUGCAUACUGAACAAUGAUGGCAGCGAUAGCGAUAGCAGAAUUAUAGAGCACAGGAGCAAAAUACGAAAUCAUGUCAGAGAAUCCAUACUGUACAAACAUUUCUGUGAUCUACAGCAUAGUCCUGAAUCAUUCAAAUACCACAUACUAGAAGUAGUAUCACAAUCCAAACAUAUGGACUUCAAUAAUAAACUUUUGCAAAGGGAAACAUAUUGGAUUUUCAGAUUACGGACAGAACAUCCACAGGGCUUAAAUGAACAAAAUUCAUACAGUUGUUAUAUAUAGAACCUUAGCAUACUAUAAAUCCCUAAUUGAAUACACCCAAUACAAUAAGGGUACUCAUAGCACCAUCUGGUGGUAUUUCUUCUAUAUCUUCAUAUAAACCUUUCUGUUUCUUUAACAUCUUCCCCUUUAAAUUGAGGCAACCCCUUGAUGCUUUUCAUACUCGCAAUUAGAACCUAACACACAGCAGAGUAUCCCGUGAGUAUAUACUGUUUUAGAAAUAUACAAUUUGUUUAAAAACAAAUUUUUGGAUGUUUGUAACUCUUUAAUGCUUAUGGCCACUCCUUGUUCCUUUGACCUAGAUUCCACUGUAAAAAACAGGUAUCUCUAAGGAGAACAAGUGUUAAAUUUGGAACUAUACCACCAGAGGAAGGCCUGAUGCAGGGCCGAAACCGGUCGUGGCGAACUGACUCUUCUCGGCAAUAGAAUAUACAACGCCGAUUGCACUUCAAUGUAUAUUGGACUAUCCAUUUGAGGCUGCUUGUUAUUACUGUGAAUUUAACGCCGACUGCAUUUCUAUGUAUAUGGGACAAUCCAUUUGAUGGUGUUCGAUAUUACUGUGAAUUUAAACAGUAUAUUAAUUUGCCAGAUA